AGGGGAGCAUAAUGUUUUGCCAAACUAUUUCGAGCAGAAUCAGGCAGAAGCACUUGAUCUGGAGAAAACUGUGCUUGAGACAGUGGAAGAAGCUGCAGAAGACUGGAGGGUCGAUGAUUUAAAAGGACUUCUUGGUCGUUGUAACUUCAAAGCAGACAUGCUUGAUAGAAAGGUCUCACUUUUGAGUGGUGGCGAGAAGGCACGACUUGCUUUCUGCAAAUUUAUGGUGAAGCCAUCUACUUUUCUAGUUUUAG
rnacentral:misc_RNA from 1 species